AAUCAACGCUGGCGGCGUGCCUAACACAUGCAAGUCGAACGCGAAAGCCCCUUCGGGGGCAAGUAGAGUGGCGUCCGGGUGAGUAACACGUGGGUAAUCUACCUCCGGGUGGGGAAUAACUCGCCGAAAGGCGGGCUAAUACCGCAUAAUGCAGCGGCACCGAAUGGUGAUUAGUUGUUAAAGCGGGGGACCUUAGGGCCUCGCGUCUGGAGAGGAGCCUGCGGCAGAUUAGCUUGUUGGAGGGUAAUGGCCUACCAAGGCUGCGAUCUGUAGCUGGUCUGAGAGGACGGCCAGCCACACUGGCACUGACACACGGGCCAGACUCCUACGGGAGGCAGCAGUGGGGAA
rnacentral:rRNA from 1 species